GUCUAAAGGAUUUUGCCGGGUGAAGUCCUGCGAGGACAGGUUUCUGCUGGUGUUUUUGAAAAGCUGCCCAGAAAGGUACCUUGAAGCAGCCAUGGAGAAUGGUAGGAGAUACUGCAGUAAUAUCCAAACAAGGCUCACAUCAUUUAACACAAGCACAUGAACCAGGUUUGUGGUAUGCUACUGAUGGCAGUGCACUCCCCAGAUUUACUUUAGUAUCUGAGCCCUGAGAAGAUAGUGACAUCUAUGAAGUAUUGCAAAAUCUCAGCUCCUCCUGAGAGCAGCAGGACUAAGAAGCUCAAGAAAUGUGCAGGGCCAGAUCUCUCCAGUGUCCCUUCCAAAUGUUGGGGAGUUGGAAAAUAUUGUGCAGUUCAUCCGGAAGGCACAGCUGGAGCUUCAGUAACAGAUAAUGACCUACAAGUUUGAUGAUAGAGGCAAGCACAAGUAUCUCGAAGAAACUGAAAAUAUUUUGUAAUGUGAUGUCACUUGUCUU